GCAUAUCAAUAAGCGGAGGAAAAGAAACUAACAAGGAUUCCCUUAGUAACGGCGAGUGAAGCGGGAAGAGCUCAAAUUUGAAAUCUUCAAGGUUCUACCUUGACGAAUUGUAGUUUAAAGAAGUGUUUUCUGUUAGAUGAGUAGCAAAAGUUCCUUGGAAUGGGACAUCAUAGAGGGUGAGAAUCCCGUAUUUGGUUAUUCAUUCUAGCUUUGUGAUACACUUUCAAAGAGUCGGAUUGUUUGGGAAUGCAGUCCAAAAUGGGUGGUAAAUUUCAUCUAAAGCUAAAUAUUGGCGAGAGACCGAUAGCGAACAAGUACCGUGAGGGAAAGAUGAAAAGAACUUUGAAAAGAGAGUUAAACAGUACGUGAAAUUGUCAAAAGGGAAGCGUUUGACACCAGUGUUGUUUUUCCGAAAAUCAAUUACGAAUGGCUUGAUUUUGUGUUGUAUUGACCUUAUCAGCUUUCUGCACUUUUUUCGAGUCUUUCUUAAUGCACUUUUCGGUUAACAAGUCAACAUCAAUUUCUUUUGUUGUAAAAGAGUAUUUGGAAGGUGGCUUUCUUUUCGGAGAAAGUGUUUAUAGCCCUAUACUUCUACAAUCGGAGAGAUUGAGGUCUGCAGCGUAGAUCCUUCGGGGUUAGAUACACUUGUGCUAAGUUGUAGCUUUUCAUAGACAACUUGUUGACUAUGUUUAGUCAUGCGGCUUACUCGCUUGUGCUAUUUUACCUACGCUUAGGAUGUUGACAAAAUGGCUUUAAACGACCCGUCUUGAAACACGGACC
rnacentral:rRNA from 1 species